ncrna:unclassified sequences skipping-rope RNA
ACCAAUUGACAAGCAGGAAAGGCACCCUGCACUCCCAUACGGGAACCUGAUAUGAUGGAUACGCCGCCCAUCCAAUGAAU